rfam:Glossina morsitans morsitans, isolate Yale, WGS project CCAG01000000 data, contig: ctg10007618
UCUAGCUCUGAUUGUCCAAGCGCAAUUCUUGCUUAAUUCAAAAUAUUUCAAGGAUUGCAACUGGGCAUCGUGGCUCGA